CCUGGAGGUACACAUAUAGGCUUGCAGUACAAGCAGCCCUUCCUGGAGGUACACAUAUAGGCUUGCAGUACAAGCAGCCCUUCCUGGAGGUACACAUAUAGGCUUGCAGUACAAGCAGCCCUUCCUGGAGGUACACAUAGCCUGAUAGGAGCGGCCAUCUUUGAAAACUGGGCUGAAAGCAUGUGUGUCAAGUGUCCCAGGGACAGCACUUUCCACCUAAACUGCAUUUUGGGCUAGAAGAGACUUCCUUUAAACACAAAAAUCCUUUAAAGCCGAAAGUGCAGUCCCUGCUUAGCCUGUCAAUUUUCAAAUGCAGCUUAGCUGUAAUGAAUUUUAUGGUGAAUUUCGUCCAUUCCUUCUCUGUUACAAAAUGGACAGUCGAUGAUUUUGCCUGAUCUGUCUUGAAUAACUAAGAAUUCGAAAAAGCUGUAUUAGUCUCAUUUUGACUGUGACCCAAUUUUUGUUUAAGAGUUGUUCAAAUAGCCUGCCCAGCACCAAGCAACCAAUAGGCACUUGUGUAGAGUGAAAAGAAAUAGUCUUGUCCUUAACCCUUUCCCCCUCAGAAGAAAAGUGAAAAUGGCCAUAUGCAACCAGCAUGAAACCAGAACAGCCUGUGAGUAGCAUGCAGUCUGUUGUGGUUUUAUUCUGUUUUCUAUUCAUCAGUGUCUAACUCUGGGAAAUGAAGCCUGUAAAACUUGAACCUAGUUAGAAAGGCCUUAUUCAAUUUGAUUUUCCAAGGGGCUAGAAAUUGGUCAUAUUGCAUAUUUGAGUGUUAAAGUGUAAUUAAACUAUCAUCCCUGUCCCA